AUUUUAUCACUUUUGACCUCGGAUCAGGUAGGGAUACCCGCUGAACUUAAGCAUAUCAAUAAGCG
rnacentral:rRNA from 1 species